rnacentral:lncRNA from 1 species
GUUGAGUAACCCUACAAAAUAGUUAAAAGAUUAUACCUCCACUCACUAAUCCUCCUAGAAGGAUUAGUUUCUCAUGACGUUCAUAAACAAUAUAUAAUCGAUGUAAAGAGAAAGCAUGCUAAUGAAAACGACAAGAUAGAGUAAAUGAAAUAGCCUAAUUGUAUUGAUAUUAUGUGUAAAUCCACAGAGUUGAAUGAUUC